AAAGCUCGUAGUCGGAUCUGUGUCUGGACGGUGCCGGACCACCCUGGCGGUCAGUCGUGUCGCCGCCGGCCGUGUCGCGGGACCACGUGUCCCGUCGGCGCGGUCGCCGUCGCGCUCGUCAGCCGUCUCGGGGUGUUAGUUACCGGCACGUCGGCCCGGACGUAUUGUCGGCAGGCGGACACGUGUCUCGUGCUUCCGGCGCGCCGCGCGGCCACGCGUCGCGCGGCAGUCGGUGUUCGACGACGGCGGCCGCCUACUCCAAUCUUGCUGCGCGGUGCUCUUCACCGAGUGCCGUCGGCGGGCCGACACGUUUACUUUGAACAAAUUAGAGUGCUCAAAGCAGGCUCGAAUCUGGCGGGGCGGCUUCACGGCCGUCUCGUCAAAAGGCCCUGAAUACUGGUCGCAUGGAAUAAUGGAACAAGACCUCGGUCCCGCGCAUCUCCGCCCUUCGCGGGCGCGCGAAAUCGCCCUCCGGGGCGUUUCCGUGCGCGGGCCGCCGGGCCGCGGGCGCCAGUCGCCCGCGCGUCCCGCCGGGCCGGUUUUCGGGACCGGAGGUAAUGAUCAACAGAGACGGGCGGGGGCAUUCGUACCGAGACGUUAGAGGUGAAAUUCUUGGAUCGUCUCGAGACGAACUGACGCGAAAGCAUUUGCCAAGUACGUUCUCGUAUGAUCAAGAACGAAAGUUAGAGGUUCGAAGGCGAUCAGAUACCGCCCUAGUUCUAACUGUAAACGAUGCCAGCUAGCGAUCCGCCGGCGUUUCAUUAACGACCCGGCGGGCAGCUUCCGGGAAACCGAAGCUUUUCGGUUCCGGGGGAAGUAUGAUUGCAAAGUUGAAACUUAAAGAGAAUUGACGGAAGGGCACCACCAGGAGUGGAGCCUGCGGCUUAA
rnacentral:ncRNA from 1 species